UUAAUUGAAACCAAAAAAGAGGUACAUCACUGUUAAUGAUUAAAUUGAGAAUGCUCCAAUUAAA
rnacentral:tRNA from 1 species